rnacentral:rRNA from 1 species
UACGAAGGGGGCUAGCGUUGCUCGGAAUCACUGGGCGUAAAGGGUGCGUAGGCGGGUUUUUAAGUCAGGGGUGAAAUCCUGGAGCUCAACUCCAGAACUGCCUUUGAUACUGAAGAUCUUGAGUCCGGGAGAGGUGAGUGGAACUGCGAGUGUAGAGGUGAAAUUCGUAGAUAUUCGCAAGAACACCAGCGGCGAAGGCGGCUCACUGGCCCGGUACUGACGCUGAGGCACGAAAGCGUGGGGAGCAAACAGG